rnacentral:rRNA from 1 species
AUGGUGGCGGAUGCGCUUGCUGAUCGCCGCUGGAUUGACGACAUCCGGGGAGCUCUGGGUCUUGCGGCCACCGUGGAAUACGUAAGCCUAUGGAUCCGUCUCCAGCAUGUCGAGCUGCUCCCUCGCCCGAACUCGAUUCGCUGGCGCUGGACGAAAAAUGGGUGCUACUCGGCCUCCUCUUGCUACAUCUCCCUCUUCCAUGGCUCCACCUCCUCGGCCACCUGGCACCUCGCCUAGCAAACUAGUGCUCCGACCUCGGUGCAGUUCUUCAUCUGGCUAGCCUCUCUCAACCGCUGCUGGUCCGCUGAUCGCCUCGCGUGGCGCGCCUUACCCGACGAGCUGGCCUGCGUGCUUUGCUCUCAAGAGCCCGAGACCAUGCACCACAUCCUGGUGGGUUGUGUCUUCGCGCGAGCAACAUGA